rnacentral:rRNA from 1 species
AUUGAACGCUGGCGGCAUGCUUUACACAUGCAAGUCGAACGGUAACAGGUUAAGCUGACGAGUGGCGAACGGGUGAGUAAUGCAUCGGAACGUGCCCGGUCGUGGGGGAUAACGCAGCGAAAGCUGCGCUAAUACCGCAUACGAUCUGAGGAUGAAAGCGGGGGACCGUAAGGCCUCGCGCGAUCGGAGCGGCCGAUGUCAGAUUAGGUAGUUGGUGGGGUAAAGGCUCACCAAGCCAACGAUCUGUGGCUGGUCUGAGAGGACGACCAGCCACGCUGGGACUGAGACACGGCCCAGACUCCUACGGGAGGCAGCAGUGGGGAAUUUUGGACAAUGGGCGAAAGCCUGAUCCAGCAAUGCCGCGUGCAGGAAGAAGGCCUUCGGGUUGUAAACUGCUUUUGUACGGAGCGAAAAGGUCUUCUCUAAUACAGGGGGCUCAUGACGGUACCGUAAGAAUAAGCACCGGCUAACUACGUGCCAGCCGCCGCAGUAA